AUAGUCUCACCCUGGCCGGUAGUUUGACAGCUUAACACAUGCAGUCGAGCGGGGAAGGGUAGCUUGCUACCUAACCUACGGCGGACGGGUGAGUAAUGCUUAGGAAUCUGCCAUUUAGUGGGGGACAACAUCCGAAAGGAAUAGCUAAUACCGCAUACGUACCUACGGGAGAAAGCAGGGGAUACUUACGGACCUUGCGCUAAAUGAUGAGCCUAAGUCGGAUUAGCUAGUUGGUAGGGGUAAAGGCCUACCAAGGCGACGAUACUAGUAGCGGGUACUAGAGAGGAUAGAUACCGCCACACUAGGGACUAGAAGACACGGCCCAGACUACCUACGGGAGGCAGCAGUAGGGGAAUAUAUGGACAAUAGGGCGGAAGCCUAGAUACCAGCCAUAGCCGCGUAGUAGUAGAAGAAGGCCUUUUGGUUGUAAAGCACUUUAAGCGAGGAGGAGGCUCCUAGUUUAAUACCUAGGGAUUGAGUAGGGCGUAACUCNCAGAAUAAGCACCGGCUAAAACUACUAGUAGCCCAGGCAAAGACCAGCGAGUAAUUACNAGAGGAGGUAGCGAAGACCGUUUAAAUACCGNGAAUAUUACUUGGGGCGUUAAAAA
rnacentral:rRNA from 1 species